rnacentral:rRNA from 1 species
GAUGAACGCUGGCGGCGUGCCUAAUACAUGCAAGUCGAGCGAACAGACGAGGAGCUUGCUUUUCUGACGUUACCGUCGUAUGGGGGAGUAACACGUGGAUAACCUCCCUAUAAGACUGGCAUAACUUCGGGAAAACGGAGCUAAUACCGGAUAAUAUAUUGAACCGCAUGGUUCAAUAGUGAAAGACGGUUUUGCUGUCACUUAUAGAUGGAUCCGCGCCGCAUUAGCUAGUUGGUAAGGUAACGGUUUCCCAAGGCAACGAUGCUAAGCCGACCUGAGAGGGUGAUCGGCCAGCCUGGAACUGAGACACGGUCCAGACUCCGGCGGGAGGCAGCAGUAGGAAAUCUUCCGCGAUGGGCGAAAGCCUGACGGAGCAACGCGGCGUGAGUGAUGAAGGUCUUCGGAUCGGAGAGCGAUGUUAUUAGGGAAUAACAAAUGUGUAAGUAACUAUGCACGUCUUGACGGUACCUGAGCAGAAAGCCACGGCUAACUACGUG